GUUUCUGACCCAUCAGCUUGACGGUAGGGUAUUGGCCUACCGAGGCAGCAACGGGUAACGGGGAAUUAGGGUUCGAUUCCGGAGAGGGAGCCUGAGAAACGGCUACCACAUCUAAGGAAGGCAGCAGGCGCACAAAUUACCCAAUCCUGACACAGGGAGGUAGUGACAAGAAAUAACAAUACAGGGCUAAUGUCUUGUAAUUGGAAUGAUGGCGACGUAAAAGCUCGCCAGAGUACCAAUUGGAGGGCAAGUCUGGUGCCAGCAGCCGCGGUAAUUCCAGCUCCAAUAGCGUAUAUUAAACUUGUUGCAGUUAAAAAGCUCGUAGUUGAACUUCAGCCGUUGCGCCGUCCGACUUUGGUUGGUGUUGCGCUGUGGCUUAUCCUUUUACUUUGAGAAAAUUAGAGUGUUUCAAGCAGACUUUUGUCUUGA
rnacentral:rRNA from 1 species